rnacentral:rRNA from 1 species
UACAGAGGUCUCAAGCGUUGUUCGGAAUCACUGGGCGUAAAGGGUGCGUAGGCGGCUUUUUAAGUUUGGUGUGAAAUCUCCCGGCUCAACUGGGAGGGUGCGCCGAAUACUGAGAGGCUAGAGUGUGGGAGAGGAAAGUGGAAAUUCCUGGUGUAGCGGUGAAAUGCGUAGAUAUCAGGAGGAACACCGGUGGUGUAAACGGCUUUCUGGACCAUAACUGACGCUGAGGCACGAAAGCGUGGGUAGCAAACAGG